UUCCCCGAUUGCUACGAGCACUAAUGUACCAGAUUACAUCAGAAUUUGGAAAUUAAGUAUGCUUGGACGAGAUUAGUACUAGGAUGUGUGACUCAUUGGGAAGUCUUCGAGUUGCACCAC
rnacentral:rRNA from 1 species